rnacentral:rRNA from 1 species
UACGAAGGGGGCUAGCGUUGUUCGGAAUUACUGGGCGUAAAGGGCGCGUAGGCGGCGUGCCAAGUCAGGUGUGAAAGCCCCGGGCUCAACCUGGGAACCGCGCUUGAGACUGGCAUGCUCGAGUUCGGGAGAGGAUGGUGGAAUUCCCAGUGUAGAGGUGAAAUUCGUAGAUAUUCGCAAGAACACCAGUGGCGAAGGCGGCUCACUGGCCCGGUACUGACGCUGAGGUGCGAAAGCGUGGGGAGCAAACAGG